UGAAUAUAUAAUGACAUCUCAGAAAUGCUGCAGACUCAUGCACAGUGGAGAAGCCAACCGUGGAGAACUGCAUGGGCA